CGUAGGGGGCGAGCGUUAUCCGGAAUCAUUGGGCGUAAAGGGCGCGUAGGCGGAUAUUUAAGUCAGGUGUGAAAACCCAGGGCUCAACCUUGGGAUUGCAUCUGAUACUGGGUAUCUUGAGGACAGGAGAGGAAAGUGGAAUUCCUAGUGUAGCGGUGAAAUGCGUAGAUAUUAGGAGGAACACCAGUGGCGAAGGCGACUUUCUGGACUGUAACUGACGCUGAGGCGCGAAAGCGUGGGGAGCAAACAGGAUUAGAUACCCUGGUAGUCCACGCCGUAAACGAUGAGUGCUAGGUGUAGGGGGUAUCGACCCUCCUGUGCCGCAGUUAACACAAUAAGCACUCCGCCUGGGGAGUACGACCGCAAGGUUG
rnacentral:rRNA from 1 species